CCCUCGUGACUCCAGCUAGCGACCAGCGAACCUGUACAAAACCGGCGGCGGCGUCCGCGGCGGUUGCAAAGGCGCCCACCGCUACUUCCGCUACGGUCGCGCCUCCCGGGCACCGUACUCUUAUUGCGCACGACCAGUGCGACGGCUCAGUAGCAAACGAGUAAGUCGCCCUCCCAGAGCUCCCGAAACUCCCUCAAGCGCCGCCAUCUUGGCUAUCGAGUCCGUACGUUCGCGGGAAACAUGGCCGCGCCUAUGUGAGGCUUUCCGGAGGGCGUCGCCACCUUCUCCGUCGAGUCCGUACGGCGGACUCUUGGAAUUACUCGACGUUAUAGGCAAUAUGGCCACGUCUACUUUGUGAUUUCCAUUCAGACGCCGACUUCUUGGAAUCUGACUCCGUAAGGGGGCCGACUCCGUACGUUCCCAGAGGAUAUAUGCCGGCGUCCAGAUACACACAGCUGCCUCCUGCAAACUACUGCUUGGAUCUAGUCACGUUCAGUUCCCCUUCYACGUAUGGCCGUGGGGCGCCGGCAGACUCUGUGCCUGGCCUGGGCGAAGCAAACCGGGAUCCCCAGGUGUCUSCGACUUCACCUGCCUUCACCCGGCUCUCACGCCUGGCUGUUCACCAGGUUUGUCUSACACGGCUCCACAUUUAUUUAUAAAUAAUUCUUAAACUAAUUUCAAAUUUCGUUUUAGUUGUGUAAGCGGCACAAUAGCCUACUAGUAUAGCACACCCUACGCAGCCAUUUCUUGGUUUUGAACAUUCAGAACUGAAGACAUAACUAAAAGGGGUCUCUGAAGACUGCUGUCAGCCCUGGAGAACAUGGGUUCCCACAGCAUCGGGUCCUCCGGGAUUCCAGCCUCAAGAUCUAGUUAAUUUAAACUUUUAACCGUUUCACCUUAGGCGCUGACACCAUUGGAGUAAUAAAUUACUUGGAAAUGAACUUUCA
rnacentral:lncRNA from 1 species